rnacentral:lncRNA from 1 species
UUUCACGUUGUAAAUCCAAGCACAUAGCGGUGGAACAUUGUAACAGUGGAUGUCACUCAUAGACUCAUAGGAACAUGUUUGCCCUGUUCAAACCUGGGGAAUAAAAACGAUUCUGAUUCUGAAAGCAGCUGAUCAACUUUAUAGGAACACAUUUCAUAUGGUAGAGGUGAAAGGGACGCUAACAACCCAAAGCAGCCGAGGCUGUAGCAGGCAGAGAAACGCAGAUCUUUGUCCUGCGUGUUGAUGCGUGUUUCCCCUUCCCCCAGUGUCACCGCUCUGGGACGUGGAUGGCCACGCCCACUUUCAUUUACCAGACGGACCUGAAAGAGGGAAUAACGAAAUAAACAGCUGGUUAACUUCGUAGGAACACGGCUGUAGCUCUGCAAAGACUUUAUGUGGUACAGGUGAAAGGAGUAAUAACGAAAUAAACGGAAUAUAAAACGGAAACGCUUUCAAGCGUUUUCUGUUCACCCAAACUUGAUGGGUGUACUGUCAUCUUUUCAGUAAUUUUUAGCAUUUGCAUGUUGUUGUAUAUGUAACAUAGUUAAAGUGUAUGCUGGUUAAAUCCAGGGGCAUCCAAUAAAAAGGGCAAUUCGCCACCUGCUGGUAAAGUGUUGUAUUUAAUACCAAAUGUAUGUACAAGGGAUUAUGGGUAAUCUUCAGAAGCGCGAAGGAUUUCCCCAGAGGUAACGUGCCUGUGAAUGUGCCCGUGGGCAAAGUGUGUAAACUUUAUAAAAAAUAUAUGUAUGAAAGUUUUACCGGUACUAUGAGGCUGAUGGUAGCUGUAUGUUAAUUGUGUUCGCCAUGGUUUUGUUAACUUAUGAACCAUUUUGGCUGUGUUUGGGCUUAAAAUGUUGAAGCUUUAAGCUAGCUAGCUAGCUAACUCUAGUGGUGCUGUCUCUCCAGACGGAGCGUGUACAAGCAGAGUGCCCACAGCACAUGAUCCUGUUUUGCCUUUUUCCCUUUUCCCUUGUGAAACUACAGACAGUUGUGAACUAUGUAUGGAUAAUCUGGAGAAGCGCGAAGGAUUUCCCCAGAGACGGAGCGUGUACAAGCAGAGUGCCCACAGCACAUGAUCCUGUUUUGCCUUUUUCCCUUUUCCCUUGUGAAACUACAGUUGCUGAAUAAACCUGCUGUUACCAACAUCUAGAGCAGCUCCGAGUGGUCAUUCACAAAGCAAAGAAAAAAGACAGACAGAAGACAUGACAUCAGAGGUCACAUAUAUGAAUAACAAAAUUAACAAAAUCUACGUUUGAAAAAAACUUUGAAGAGUUCCGUGUCUACAUGAAAGCGGGCAGAACAACGUCCGUCUAUGACUCACUGCCGAAAGCGGCUGGUGAAACAUGGCUGUAGCUCUACAAUGACUUAUUAUGUGGUACAGGUGAAAGGGGAAAUAACGAAAUAAACGGAAUAUAAAACCGAAACGCUUUCA